rnacentral:rRNA from 1 species
AUGGCCGACCCGACGCCGACGCGUGCGGGCACCAGAACCAGCGGCAUGGCCGCGAGGAGCGGAGCAAUGUUCGACACAGCGGUCGCCUCGACGCCGGCCUACGCCAGGGAGAUGCUGGCCGGCGGCGUCGCGGGCGUGGCGGCCAAGACGGCCGUGGCCUCGCUCGGCCGCGUGAAGCUCCUCUGCCGAACGGGCGGCGAACCCGGGGGCGUCGGCGCCGUCCGGACGCUCGUCGGGAUCUACCGCCGGGAAGGAGUCGCGGGGCUCUACCGCGGCAACGGCGCCAACGCGCUGCGCGUGUUCCCGUCCAAGGCGCUCCACUUCGCCGCCUACGAGCGGUACAGGGGCUGGCUCCUCGCCGCCACGGCCGCCCCGUCGUCGUCGGUCGUGGACCUCCUCGCAGGCUCGGCCGCCGGCGGCACCGCGCUGCUCGCGACGUACCCGCUCGAGCUCACCCGCGCGCGGCUCGCCUGCGGGGGCGACGCCGCCCGCACGAGCGUGCACGGCGUCCUCCGGGCCGCGUACGCGGAGGGUGGCGGCGUGCGCGGGCUGUACCGCGGCGCGUGCCCGGCGCUGGCGCGAGCGCUGCCCAGGGCGGGGAUCAAGUUCGGCGCGUACGAGUGGCUCAAGCGGCGGCUCCCCGAGGGCUGCGACGGGCGCGCGGACGCGCAGCUGGCGUGCGGGGUGGCAGCGGCGCAGCUGGCCAGCACGGCGACGUACCCGCUGGGCGUGGUGCGGCGACGGAUGCAGCUCGGACUGGCAACCGGUGGCGUGCUGCAGGGCAUCCGUGCCAUCGCGCGGGAGGAGGGCAUGCGGCGGCUGUACGCCGGGCUGGGGAUCGCGUACGUCAAGGCGGUGCCGGCGGCGGCCAUUGGGCUGGCGGCUUACGACCAGAUGAAGCUUCUUUUGAACUGCCGGCCGGUGGCCACGGCGAGAGUGUUCACGCACCCUAGGCUGGCCGGCGGCGAGUACGUAGUUUGCUGGUGA